rnacentral:rRNA from 1 species
UGGGGAAUCUUGCGCAAUGGAGGAAACUCUGACGCAGCAACGCCGCGUGAGUGAAGAAGGCCCUUGGGUCGUAAAGCUCUUUCGGCUGGGAAGAAGGGACAUGUGGCUAAUAUCCACGAGUUCUGACGGUACCAGAGUAAGAAGCACUGGCUAAUUCCGUGCCAGCAGCCGCGGUAAUACGGAAGGUGCAAGCGUUGUUCGGAGUAACUGGGCGUAAAGGGCGCGUAGGCGGAAGAGUAAGUUGUCUGUGAAAACCCCGGGCUUAACCCGGGACGUGCAGGCAAAACUGCAUUUCUUGAAUGCUUGAGAGGUUAGUGGAAUUCCAGGUGUAGGAGUGAAAUCCGUAGAUAUCUGGAGGAACACCGGAGGCGAAGGCGGCUAACUGGCAAAACAUUGACGCUGAGGCGCGAAAGCGUGGGGAGCAAACA